GAGCGGAUGAAGGGAGCUUGCUCCCUGAUUCAGCGGCGGACGGGUGAGUAAUGCCUAGGAAUCUGCCUGGUAGUGGGGGACAACGUUUCGAAAGGAACGCUAAUACCGCAUACGUCCUACGGGAGAAAGCAGGGGACCUUCGGGCCUUGCGCUAUCAGAUGAGCCUAGGUCGGAUUAGCUAGUUGGUGAGGUAAUUGCUCACCAAGGCGACGAUCCGUAACUGGUCUGAGAGGAUGAUCAGUCACACUGGAACUGAGACACGGUCCAGACUCCUACGGGAGGCAGCAGUGGGGAAUAUUGGACAAUGGGCGAAAGCCUGAUCCAGCCAUGCCGCGUGUGUGAAGAAGGUCUUCGGAUUGUAAAGCACUUUAAGUUGGGAGGAAGGGCAGUAAGCGAAUACCUUGCUGUUUUGACGUUACCGACGGAAUAAGCACCGGCUAACUCUGUG
rnacentral:rRNA from 1 species